rnacentral:rRNA from 1 species
GACGUAGGGCGCGAGCGUUGUCCGGAUUUAUUGGGCGUAAAGAGUUCGUAGGUGGUUAUCUAAGUCUGGUGUUAAAGCCCGGAGCUCAACUCCGGCAUGGCAUUGGAAACUGGAUGGCUAGAGUGUGGAAGAGGUAACUGGAAUUCCUGGUGUAGCGGUGAAAUGCGCAGAUAUCAGGAGGAACACCCGUGGCGAAAGCGAGUUACUGGUCCACUACUGACGCUGAGGAACGAAAGCCAGGGUAGCAAAAGGG